UCCUGACACAUAUAAUUUGUUAAAAAAGAUUAAUAGUGGUUUGUAUUAAUAAAAAGGUAAAUCCAAAGAAAUUAUUCAAGGGUUAAUGAACAGUACGCGAACGUUGAGUUCUGGCUAGUGAAAUGCUGUAGUAAUUUACCGAAACUAGCCUCCACUUUUGUAUUUAGUCGUACUCGUAAGGUUUAACUUUAAGUUUUUAUUAUUUUUCAAAGUUUCUUGCGUACUACAAGUGGAGCGCGUACCACAGGUUGGAAACCUAAGCUAAAGUAAUAAUUAUUACUACUAGUACGAAUAUUAAUACAGAAGCAUUAUAAACUAUGGUAUAAAGUUACAACCUAUCGAACCUAUAUUUAUAUAUUUGGAAGAAAAAAGUACCGGACCUUAGCCUAGGUUCUUGUAACUCUGGGAUACCGCCACAUAAUUCUAAGUGAAAGUGUUUGGUGAGAAAAGAGCAUACGCCGUGUGACACGUCUCUACGAUAAAGAAAUGUGCCUAUGUGAAACUCAUUGUUAAAGAAUACAUUGUUUGAUCACUGCAUUGCUUGUUUAACAUUUACUGCAAACAGAUUUAAACAAUUCUUCAAGAGCUGAAAAAUCAUCAUUAUCUGACAGACCUAGAUGUUUAUAUUGUGGUAAACCAUUUUUCAGUAAACAGACGUUGGAACGCCAUAUGGAGCAACACAAAAUAAGUAGGAAACGUUAUCGCUGCAACAUAUGUUCAAAAGAUUACUCUUGUGUCACUGCAUGGUAUCACCACAGGAAAACUCAUG